rnacentral:rRNA from 1 species
UACGUAGGGUGCGAGCGUUUGUCCGGAAUUAUUGGGCGUAAAGAGCUCGUAGGCGGUGUGUCACGUCGGCCGUGAAAACCUGGGGCUUAACUCUGGGCGUGCGGUCGAUACGGGCAUCACUAGAGUUCGGUAGGGGAGACUGGAAGUUCCUGGAUGUAGCGGUGAAAUGACGCAGAUAUCAGGAGGAACACCGGUGGCGAAGGCGGGUCUCUGGGCCGAUACUGACGCUGAGGAGCGAAAGCAUGGGUAGCGAACAGG